GCCUUAGCUCAGUUGGUAGAGCGCUGCCUUUGCAAGGCAGAUGUCAGGAGUUCGGUGGUUAUCUCUAGGAGAGGUA
rnacentral:tRNA from 1 species